rnacentral:rRNA from 1 species
GGAAUUUUGGACAAUGGGGGAAACCCUGAUCCAGCCAUGCCGCGUGUAUGAAGAAGGCCUUCGGGUUGUAAAGCACUUUUGUCAGGGAAGAAAUCCUUUGGGCUAAUACCCUAGGGGGAUGACGGUACCUGAAGAAUAAGCACCGGCUAACUACGUGCCAGCAGCCGCGGUAAUACGUAGGGUGCAAGCGUUAAUCGGAAUUACUGGGCGUAAAGCGUGCGCAGGCGGUUGUGUAAGACAGGUGUGAAAUCCCCGGGCUUAACCUGGGAAUUGCAUUUGUGACUGCACGACUAGAGUGUGUCAGAGGGGGGUGGAAUUCCACGUGUAG